ACUUGUAAUCAAUUAUUAGUGAAUGAGACCCACCAAGGCUUGAGGCUGGUGUUUGAAUAUGGAUUAAUUGACCUGUCAGCAUAUUUGGGUCACCCAGGGCCAGUAUAAGAAGUCAGAAAAAUCUCAAGAAAGUUCAAGUUCGCCGAUGAUCCUGUUCAUGUAGCACAGGCACAAAAGCCUACUAAAAGAAUAUCCAAUCAGUUCUAUUUUCAAAAUCAGUAUUUUGGAGCAGGUCCUUGUUCACCCUGCAGCCUUGUGUCUGCUAUCCAGAUGGACUCAUUACAAUGAUUCCCACACAGCUGAGAGGCAUCUGCAGAUGACAGGAAGGGGCUGACGGAGAAUUGCCAUAUGACCAAUCGAUACUGAGAUGACAGUAGCAGGAUGGUAUGCGUGUUGCUGUCAGAUAUUUGUCCAAUCUGAUGCUCCUCCAUUGCAGCAGGUUCAUGUUAAUAGAUUCCAAAAUAUCACGUUUCUACUGGAAAAAGUUUCUGCUUUGCAUUGGAUUCCUUUGUUCAUUUAACCAUAUUCUUCAGAUGUUGAAGAACUUUGGGAAAUAAACACAUUGGCUGGUGUGAUCUGAAUGGACCCUUCACCUUCAGUGUUAGAAUGUGACCUUUCACGUGAGAUAGAGUGUUCUGGUGAGGACUAUUGAGUGAGAUGUCCUUGGAACAUAUGGAGGUGUGAUGUUUUAUGUGGCGUUGUUUUUAAAGAUCUGGAAUGAAACCAAAGGCUGGAUGUUCAAACAAUGAUCUAUCACUGUGUCAAUACCAGGUUGCUCCAGGGUUUUUUCCCCCGCGAUAAGAGCUCUAGAAGUUAGUUUUGAUAUAAGCACCAUCAAAGUAACUCAUUUAAAGACAUUAAUUCAUACUCAACCUGUUCAGAUUGUCACAUUUUCUUUAUUUCUUAUUCAGUUUGAGUUAGGAAAGUUAGCUUCUCAUCUGGCCUGCUUCCAUGUGGGUUACACUCUGUGCUGACUGUAAUAUCUCUACGAUGUACUAGUGUAAUUAUAGAUGUGCUCAAAGCUUCAGUACCACAUGUUCCUGCUUUCAGAAAUAUAAAAUCACUGGCUUUAUGUGUCUCUGUGGUGACAUCCUGUGUGACAUUAUAAUAACUCCUUGCAUUUGUCAUCUGUUGCUGAUUUGAUUCAUUUUUAUAAAUUGGUUUUAUAAAUUGGUUUUAUAAAUUGCAUGUAAA